UUGUUCCUACGGGGCGCAGCAGUGAGGAAUAUUGGUCAAUGGGAGAGGUCCUGAACCAGCCAAGCCGCGUGAGGGAAGACGGCCCUAUGGGUUGUAAACCUCUUUUGUCGGAGAACAAAACCCGGGACGUGUCCCGGACUGCGUGUAUCCGAAGAAAAAGCAUCGGCUAACUCCGUGCCAGCAGCCGCGGUAAUACGUAGGUGGCAAGCGUUAUCCGGAUUUACUGGGUGUAAAGGGCGUGUAGGCGGGAAAGCAAGUCAGAUGUGAAAACCACGGGCUCAACCUGUGGCCUGCAUUUGAAACUG
rnacentral:rRNA from 1 species